rnacentral:rRNA from 1 species
UACGUAGGGUGCAAGUGUUGUCCGGAAUUAUUGGGCGUAAAGAGCUCGUAGGCGGUUUGUCGCGUCUGCUGUGAAAACCCGAGGCUCAACCUCGGGCCUGCAGUGGGUACGGGCAGACUAGAGUGCGGUAGGGGGAGAUUGGAGUUCCUGGUGUAGCGGUGGAAUGCGCAGAUAUCAGGAGGAACACCAAUGGCGAAGGCAGAUCUCUGGGCCGUAACUGACGCUGAGGAGCGAAAGCAUGGGGAGCGAACAGG